rnacentral:rRNA from 1 species
AGUUCGAUUAUGGCUCAGAUUGAACGCUGGCGGGAUGCUUUAGCACAUGCAAGUCGAACGGCAGCACGACUUCUCGUCUGGUGGGCGAGUGUAUAACUGGUGAGUAAUGUAUCGGAACGUGCCUAGUAUGGGAUAAUCACGCUAAAGCGUAGCUAAUACCGCAUAAUGCCCUUCGGGGAAAGCGGGGGACCCGACUCGCACCAGGAGCGGCCGAUAUCGAUUAGCUAGUUGGUGGGGUAACGGCUCAGCCACAAGCGACGAUCCGUGGAAGCCGGCUUGAGGACGACCAGCCACACUGGGACUGAGACACGGCCCAGACUCACGGAGGCAAAAGAGGGAAUUCUUGACAAUGGGGAAACCCGAUCCAGCCAUCCCGCGUGCGAUGAAGGCUUUCGGUUGUAAAGCACUUUUUGUAGGAAAGAAACGGCACGGGAUAAUACCCCGUGCAACUGACGGUACCUGCAGAAGAAGCAACCGGCUAACUACGCCAGCAGCCGCGGCAAUACGUAGGUGCAAGCGCGUUAAUCGAAUUAAUAAGUAAAGUGCGCAGGCGGUUCGGAAAGAAGAUGGGAAAUCCCAGAGCUUAACUUUGAACUGCAUUUUUAACUACCGAGCUAGAGUGUGUCAGAGGAGGUGGAAUUCCGCGUGUAGCAGGAAUGCGUAGAUAUGCAGGAGGAACACUGAUGGCGAAGGCAGCCUCCUGGGGAUAACACUGACGCUCAUGCACGAAAGCGGGGGAGCAACAGGAUUAGAUACCCUGGUAGUCCACGCUCCCUAAACGAUGUCAACUAGCUGUUGGGGCCUUCGGGCCUUGCAGCGCAGCUAACGCGUGAAGUUGACCGCCUGGGGAGUACGGUCGCAAGAUUAAAACUCAGUUGACGGGGACCCGCACAAGCGUGGUGGAUGAUGUACUAAUUCGAUGCAACGCGAAAAACCUUACUUACCCUUGACAUGUCUGGAAUCCCGAAGAGAUUUGGGGAGUGCUCGCAGAGAACUCGAACACAGGUAAAGCUGUUAUUGCCGUCAGUCUGUGUCGUGAGAUGCUGGGUUAAGUCCCGCAACGAGCGCAACCUGUCAUUGCUGCUGCAUGAAAGGGCACUCUAAUGACUGCCGGUGACAAACCGAGGAAGGUGGGGAUGACGUCAAGUCCUCAUGGCCCUUGCGCAGUAGGGCUUCACACGUCACAAUGGUCGGGACAGAGGGUCGCCGCUAACCCGCGAGGGGGAGCCAAUCCCAGAAAACCCGGGAUCGUAGUCCGGACGCGGUCUGCAACUCGACUGCAGAAGUCGGAAUCGCUAGUAAUCGCGGAUCAGCAUGUCGCAGGAAUACGUUCCUGGCCCUGGUGUUAAUAACGCCCGUCACACCAUGGGAGUGGGUUUUACCAGAAGUAGUUAGCCUAACCGUAAGGGAUAAUAGCGAUUACCACGGUAGGAUUCAUGACUGGGGUAGUCGUAACAAGGUAA